CUUUAGGUUCGGAAUAACUCAGGGAAACUUGUGCUAAUACCGAAUGUGCCCUUCGGGGGAAAGAUUUAUCGCCUUUAGAGCGGCCCGCGUCUGAUUAGCUAGUUGGUGAGGUAAAGGCUCACCAAGGCGACGAUCAGUAGCUGGUCUGAGAGGAUGAUCAGCCACAUUGGGACUGAGACACGGCCCAAACUCCUACGGGAGGCAGCAGUGGGGAAUCUUGCGCAAUGGGCGAAAGCCUGACGCAGCCAUGCCGCGUGAAUGACGAAGGUCUUAGGAUUGUAAAAUUCUUUCACCGGGGACGAUAAUGACGGUACCCGGAGAAGAAGCCCCGGCUAACUUCGUGCCAGCAGCCGCGGUAAUACGAAGGGGGCUAGCGUUGCUCGGAAUUACUGGGCGUAAAGGGAGCGUAGGCGGACAUUUAAGUCAGGGGUGAAAUCCCGGGGCUCAACCUCGGAAUUGCCUUUGAUACUGGGUGUCUUGAGUAUGAGAGAGGUGUGUGGAACUCCGAGUGUAGAGGUGAAAUUCGUAGAUAUUCGGAAGAACACCAGUGGCGAAGGCGACACACUGGCUCAUUACUGACGCUGGGGCUCGAAAGCGUGGGGAGCAAACAGGAUUAGAUACCCUGGUAGUCCACGCCGUAAACGAUGAUUGCUAGUUGUCGGGAUGCAUGCAUUUCGGUGACGCAGCUAACGCAUUAAGCAAUCCGCCUGGGGAGUACGGUCGCAAGAUUAAAACUCAAAGGAAUUGACGGGGGCCCGCACAAGCGGUGGAGCAUGUGGUUUAAUUCGAGGCAACGCGC
rnacentral:rRNA from 1 species